AAUAUCGUUCGUAGUGACCUGCGGAAGGAUCAUUA
rnacentral:rRNA from 1 species